rnacentral:rRNA from 1 species
UACGUAGGGGGCAAGCGUUGUCCGGAAUCAUUGGGCGUAAAGCGCGUGUAGGCGGUCCGGUAAGUCCGCUGUGAAAGUCCAGGGCUCAACCCUGGGAUGCCGGUGGAUACUGUCGGGCUAGAGUACGGAAGAGGCGAGUGGAAUUCCCGGUGUAGCAGUGAAAUGCGCAGAUAUCGGGAGGAACACCAAUUGCGAAGGCAGCUCGCUGGGACGUCACUGACGCUGAGACGCGAAAGCGUGGGGAGCAAACAGG